GUCGAAAUGACCAGGGACAAUCUGAGCUAUUUGUCAGAUUGAGGAUGGCAAUGCAGUGGAUAGCUGCCAUCUUAUGGGAUCCUCUCCAAUUUUGCUGUUUUGUGUGUUUUUUUGGUUUUUUACGAUGAUCUUAACUUUUUUUCUAUAAUAUUUCUGCCAUAAUUUUCUGUUACCGAAAACAGCUUCUGAGCAUCAGAACAGUGAUCACUAACCUCGAUUUGGAUGAAUACUUCCACGAGUCGGGAGCUGUGGAUGUGCUGCUCAUUCCGGACAAGACCAUAUUCCCUGGGACUCGAAAAGAGGAAGAGAAGCUCAAGAGAGGCAAACGAGCGGGCUCCCUGACGAGACUACGCCAGCGAGUAAAAUAAACAGCCUCUGCCUUCCAUUCUAUUUGCGAACAUACAAUCAAUAGAGAACAAAUUGGACGAGCUCCGUUUGCGACUGUCCUAUCAACAGGAGUUGAAGACCUGUAAUAUCCUAUGUUUCUUGGAAUUGUGGCUGAAUAACGACAUAGAUAAUGUCCAUCUAGCUGUUUUUUUUAUGCAUCAUCAAGACCGAACUGCAUCUUCAGGGAGAGAAACCAAAAGCCCACCUUCGCCUCAUGGGUCUCCCGGUCACGGUCGGGAAGGGUAUUGAACCAGCAUCUGUAGCAAUGCAGUGGCUUUGACCGCUGCACCACUCGGGAGGCCCCACUCACAAAGUUUUUAAUGCUGAUCAAUUGCCUUGCACAAAGUAUCAAAAUACAGAGAGGUGUUGGCAAGAGCCUAUUGCCCUGCUAAUAGCCCAUAAGGCGCAAUGAAGCAGUGACGCAGGGUACCAUUCAAAACCAAAAGUUACCUCUAAAUCCCUCAGCAUAAUCUCAAAACAUUUAGUUGAGCAACCACCUUUAGCUUCCAAGGAGCUGGACACAUUCCGGACGCUUAUAUGAAAUCCCGCUACGAGCUCCGACGACCCAUCAAACUGCCAAAACAUCAAUACAGGACUAAGAUCGAAUCCUACUAUGCCACCUCUGACACUUGUUGGAUGUGGGAUGGCUGGCAAACUAUCACAGAUUAUGAAGGGAAACCCUACCUUGAGCUUCCUAAUGACGCAAGCCUGCCAGACAAGCUAAAUUCUUCCUAUGCUUGCUUCGAGGCAAGCAACAAUGAACCAUGCAUGAGUGCUCCAGCUGUUCCGGAUGACUGUGUGAUCUCGCUCUCCGUAGCUUAUGUGACCUAUAAACUGGUUAACAUUCAAAGGCUGCAGGACCAGUCGGAUUACCAGGACACGUACUCAGAGCAUGUGCUGACAAGCUGACGGGUGUCUUCACUGACAUUUUCUACCUCUCUCUGACCCAGUCUGUAAUACCUACAUGUUACAAGCAGACCACCAUAGUCCCUAUGCCCAAGAACGCCAAGGUAACCUAUCUAAAUGAUUAUCGCCCUGUAUCACUGACAUGUGUAGCCAUGAACUGCUUUGAAAGGAUGGUCAUGGCGCACAUCAACACCAUAAUCCCAGACACUCUGGACCCACUACAAUUCGCAUACCACCCCAACUGAUCCACAGAUGACAAAAUCUCUAUUGCAGUCCACACUGCCCUCUCCCACCUGGACAAGAGGAACACCUACAUGAGAAUGCAGUUCAUUGACUAUAGCUCAGCACUCAACACCAUUGUCCCCUUCAAGAUCACUAAGCUCAGGACCCUGGGACUGAACACCUCCUUCCUUUAAGGGUGCGUGCUCAGUCCAAAAUGACUGGGUGGCCACGCACGACUCCAACACCAUCAUUAAGUUGCUGACGACAUGACGGUGGUUGGCCUGAUCACCGACGAUCAUGAGACAGCCUACAUGGAGGAUGUCAGUUACCUGUGUGGUGCCAGGACAACAACCUCUUCCCUAACGUCAGAAAGACAAAGGAGAUGAUCGUGGACUACAGGGAAUGGAGGUCUGAUUUGCCCUCAUCCACAUUGACGGGACUGUAGUGGAGCAGGUCGAUAGCUUCAAGUUCACUGGGGCUGAGCUCCCUGGAGUGUCAGAGAAAGGCCCUAAAAAUUGCCAAAGAUUCCAGACACCGAAGACAGACUAUUCCCUCUGUUGCUGCACGGCAAGCCGUACCGAUGCACCAACCUACCUUAACCUCUAUGGGCUAGGUGGGACGCUUGCGC
rnacentral:lncRNA from 1 species